rnacentral:rRNA from 1 species
GAUAAACGCUGGCGGCGUGCCUAACACAUGCAAGUCGAACGUCCUUCUUCGCAAGAAGAAGGGAGUGGCGGACGGGUGAGUAACACGUGGGUCAUCUGCCCCAAAGUGAGGAAUACCGGCGAGAAAUCGCCGACAAGACCGCAUAGCCUUCGCAAGAAGGAAAGCUCUCUUUCGGGAGGGCGCUUUGGGAGGAGCCUGCGGCAGAUUAGCUGGUUGGUGGGGUUAUGGCCUACCAAGGCGACGAUCUGUAGCUGGUCUGAGAGGACGAUCAGCCACA